CUAUAUUGUGUAUGUCUGUGACAUACUCAGUGUCUCUGUGUUGUCACCAAUCGCCUUCACCUCACAGACGACAAAACCGUGACAUCGGUGAAUAAGCAGAAGAUCAAAGUCUCCCUGUUUCCAGUUGUUUGGAAGAGCCGGAGAUAGGCUGGAGGAAGGAGGUUGACGUGCACCAGCGAAACAAAGUUCACAAAGGUAAGCUGACUUAGUCCGGAACACGAGGAGGCUGAGGAAGACAAGUCCGUCCAGCAGCGGAUGGAGUCGGGGCCUGUCGGCUGGACUGACCGGCCUGUUCAAAUGCUGACGGAAUGACUAGAACAUUCUGACCAUGUCUGGUCAUCGGCACGCGGGUAAAGUACACAGCAGGCAUUAAGUAGGCACGGAGUCGAGGUCAGUGAAGGCGGUUUUAACUAACUGGACCCAUAACUCCUCGUCUUGUGCUCUCAUUUCAAUAGCUGUAGGAAGUGGGUGCAGAACUGUUGGCGAAACGAUCUGUUGGGACGGACGCCAUCGUAUUUGAAGGCGAACUGUGCUCUCAACCAGACAGUUCGUGGACCUCGUCAACUAGCACUGCCGGCUGAUCGGGUGUAGCUCCAACCAUCUCUGAUGUACUCCAUGGUAUUUUAUGCUAUCUAUAGCUUCUAUAGAAUAGUUUUGAGACACUCAGGAGUCUGACCUGCUGAGAGACUUACCUUCAUUGCUCUUCUACGUGUGAGAGUUCUGCUCUACCUGUGAGAGUUGUGUCCCUUGGCCUAACAGGCUGAGGGGAUAGGCUCCCCUUGAUAUUGUUGAUGUUUCGUUGUCGUGAUUCCUUGUGGAUAAAUGUGUUGGACCUUCAUGUUUACAUGUGCUUCUGCUGCGUUUCUUUCUCUUCUUUCUCUGCAACAGGACGGUAUAUAAUGGAUAUGGAGCGAACAUCCUUGGUAAAGUGACUGCCAUGAUUCCGCCUUCGUGCCAUUCCUCCGUGCUCAGACUGACAGAGGUGCACGAUACUGUCAGUGUUAUGGAGAGAUACAGUUUGACAACCCAGUAGUUAUUUGAUGAAGGAAAAAAAACAGUUGACAGAAUCUCUAUCAGACUUGUUGCUGGUCAGGUGCAGACAACUGUUACCCAUGUCUCGCCAUCCGCCGUCUGCUUCACAGCAGGGACCCGCCUCAACACAGGCCCAGACAUUCUGGCUCCAGUGGGUGAGGCCGCGUACCCUGAUCUCGACUCACGCGCCUACUUCCUGCCUCCUGUCUACGUCAACCGCGUGCCGAUGACUAGAGAGACCAUUGAUCCUCUAAAUAUUCCUCUCCUUGUUCUACAACUUGCCCAGACAUCAACUGGUCCACCCACCGCUGGUCUGCAUGGUCCUCAGCCUCCUCCUGUGCAGGACAGUGACAUCAGAGAUGAUGCAGCCAUGCAGCGGGUGUUCGUCUGUCUGCAGAAAAUGUCUGAAGAGCAAAGAGAAAUCAUGUUUGGACUGAGUCAACUUCUGUUCGGACAGUACCUGGGUGAACCUUGUUAUGCUGCUGCGGCUGCCCAGCUCCCCCGCACGCCAACCUUCCUCCUGCUCUGCCACGAAACUGGAAACAUGGAGACUUUGAUGUUCUUCUUAUUCACCGCCGCUACGGUCUUGUCGUCUGUGAGGUGAAGUCUGUUGGUGACAUCCUAACAACGCUCAACAUGUCACAGCAAAAAUGGACGACACCAUAAGAAAAAAACUCACCCAGGCCGUGACACAGCUGGACAAGGCGGAGGCCAUGUUGUCUCACCUGGUGUCUGACAUCGCUCCCGGUCUGCGCAUCACUAAGACCAUCGCCGUCCCUAACCUCACGGCUCAUCAGGUACAACAGACCAUCUCCGGUGACCCACACCUGGUUCAGGACCUGUGUCGAUGUCUGGGAACAACAGACCCCGCCGACAUCCCUGGUCUGUGUCUGUGC
rnacentral:lncRNA from 1 species